UCAAAAACAUUUCCUAUCGAAUAAAAUUUUAGGUAAGUCCUGCCCAAUGAAUCUUGAAUGGCCGCGGCAACCCGUGCGAAGGUAGCGUAAUCAUUUGCCCUUUAAUUUGGGGCCUGUAUGAAUGGAUCAACGAGAAAGAAGCUGUCUCGAAUAAGACCCUAAAAACUAUACUCUAGGCGCAAAUACCUAGAUAAACAUAGAAGACAAAAAGACCCUGUCGCACUUCACCUUAUUUCAACACCAAUGAAUGCCUGAAAAUAGGUUUGGCUGGGGCGACCAAUGAUAACCACUAACAUCAUUAACCCCUGCUGGCAGGCAUGCCUCACCACUGACCAUAUAAAGAUCAUAGAAAAAGCCACCGCAGGGAUAACAGGCUAAUCCCCUCUUAGAGCCCAAAUCGACGAGGGGGGUUGGCACCUCGAUGUUGGCUUAGGGUACCCUAUAGGCGCAGCCGCCUAUAACGGAAGGUUUGUUCAACCUAAUUCACCCUACGUGAUCUGA
rnacentral:rRNA from 1 species